rnacentral:rRNA from 1 species
CCUCAGAUCAGGUAGGAGUACCCGCUGAACUUAAGCAUAUCAAUAAGCGGAGGAAAAGAAACCAACAGGGAUUGCCCCAGUAGC